UCACACUUAUUUCUCUUCUCUUUCUCUUAAAACAAACAAUACCUUAAAUCUACUCUAUUUCUCACCUCUUUCUUUCUUCACAUACUCUUUUUCACUUCUUUCUCUCUUCACACUUUCUUCUUACAACCAAACACACCCUAAAGGAUCUUCUGCAUUAGUCUUUUACUUUUCUAGUACUGUUGAGAAUGUUUAUUACAUCCUUGAGUAUAAACAUGAAUUUUGGAUCAUUCUAUAUUUUAGUUCUAUUGAAGCUGUUGAAUUAUCUGAGCUAACAAAUAUAAUGAUUGUUUGGUGGUGAUUAUGAAAUUUAAGUUUAGGGAUUAUUUUAAUCGUAUCGUAACUUGCUGGUAGUUCCUUUUGUUAUUAACAAACAAAAAGCGUAGUGUCAAUGCCAUGGUGCAAACGCUACUUUCUGUGCCUAUUUAGCUUAUAACAAUUACAUGUAUUGUAUCCGCAUUCUUUAUCUAAUUUCAUUUAUUUUGUAAUUAUUCUAAAGUGAGUAAGUUUAUUUUUGGGAAGCGGAGAUAGCUAGUUGUUGUGCGAUUCUGAUCCUUAUUAUAGUAUCUGCAGGUAUACCAAUGCAUAAGUUGUAAACUUGUACUUUUGAACAAAUAAUAGUAUUUAGAAAGAAACUAAGUUGAGGAAUUCCAUACCAAUUCUUCAUAGAAUAUAUUUUCAAUGAGACCUGGAAUCUGCCACAAACAACUUCAAAACAAUUGCAGAGUACCUUAUUUAAGCUACCGUUCCUUACAAAUAUAGAAUUAAUUAUCUUUGCAAUAAACAAAAUCACUUUUUGUUUAUAAUCCAACUAAGGAGCCGUAUUUUAUGAGAUAGUUAAAUGUGGCAUAGGCCAUAGCCUACUCUCAUCUUUGAACAUGUGUAUGGAGCAUACUACGAACUCAAUGAUUGGGGGAUUUAGAUUGGUUUCAUUUCACUCCGUUAUUCUCACACUUUUCUAACAGCACUUGUUGUUCCCAGUUCUUUGAUCAAUACGAAAAGCUGUGGACGUCUCCUAAUGUCACAAGGAGGCAGUCUGUAAAGGUCUGUUUGGCAACAAUUUAUUUUAUUUUAUUUUAUUUUUAAAUUUCUUAUCUUCUUUUAAAUGUACAUGAUUCUAUAAAAACAGGAAUAUCACACAGUUGUGUUUGAUUCUAUAACAAUUUUUUGUGUGUAUAUUUCCAUCUAGUUUGAUGCAAGGAUUUCAUAUUGGUGUUUGUGAUUGUGAACAACUAAUGUGUUGGAUGGUCCAUCAGUUUUUAAUUUUAUGUGGACAAGAAAUCAUUUGGUUUGUAUUGUAAUACAAACUAAAUUGUAAGUAUCAACAAACAACGUUGCUUUGAUACUAAUAUAAAUUAGAAGAGUUCUUAUUAUAAAAACAAGUAAUUAGGUGUAUAGCAUCAAGAAAAUAUAUUAAUUACGUGAAAC
rnacentral:lncRNA from 1 species